ACGCUCGACACCUACGGAGGCAGCAGUGGGGAAUAUUGGGCAAUGGGCGCAAGCCUGACCCAGCAACGCCGCGUGAAGGAUGAAGGCUUUCGGGUUGUAAACUUCUUUUAUUCGGGACGAAGAAAAUGACGGUACCGAAUGAAUAAGCCACGGCUAACUACGUGCUAGCAGCCGCGGUAAUCUGAGCGGGCUGGCAAGGC
rnacentral:rRNA from 1 species